AGGAACGUAGCUUGGGCACAGAAAAACGACCCCUUUCGACUUUCAUCUCCUUCACAUCAUCCUCUUCAGAAAAACUCGAAAACAAGCCAUUACCCUUUAAAGCGCAAGACCUUUCUUCUUCUUCUCAACUAUUUGAACUUGCACACACCGACGAAACCAAGACUAAAAACGAAACAUAAAUAGGGAGCAAUAGAAUUCUUAGAAUUUAGUUCGAUUUUUGCUUUUCUACAUUUCAUCAUUUUCCAGGAUUCCAUUGGUAUUUCAAGGUGUAAAGGAGAU
rnacentral:lncRNA from 1 species